GUAAAGGUGUCUUUAGACACCACCUAUUUUCUUUGAAUUUAUUCCU
rfam:Picea glauca, whole genome shotgun sequence.